rnacentral:lncRNA from 10 species
GAGACCCCCAACCGGUGAAGGGGCGCGGUCUGCUUGGGGGUCCUGCCAUUCUGGACCCCUGCGGAGACCUGGAAUUUUCUUUUUCGCCGCCCCACCUCCCACCACCAUCUCACCCCACCGCCAUGGAGAAGAGGCAGGAAAGGCCGUUGACAAACGGGGACACUGAGGCUCGAACACCCUGCCCUGUCUAGGGCCUCAGCCCUCGGCAGCCCGGCCUCCCGGGGAGCAGGAGGCGCCUUGUGUUUCAGGGUUUCAAAGGACGUCCGCAUCUGGUUUCUCUUUCCAGGCCGCUACAUGCCAGCGGGGGUUCCAGGCAAGGCAGAGUGGAUUCAACCCUGAACGUCACCUGACCAAGGCUGCUGGGCCAAGCUGGAACAGAAUCGGAUCCUUGAGUCUGGGAGGCGGAGGCGGUUCGGGAAUGCAGAGGGCGUGAGAGAGAACCAAGGGAGGUGUCCUGGCCGAGUGGUGUUUCCCGCGGGACUUCUCAGAGCCUUCAUCACCUGAUACGCACCUCCACUCUUCCAGGGAGAGGACACACUGCACAGUGGUUCCCAAACUGACUUGCCCACAGGACCCCUGUGGACGGUUGUGGGGCACCACGUCAGCCCCCCUGCAGAGCGUGGAAGGGACGUUGCCCUCCCCACCCCCAAGGCUGCCAUCAACCAAUGCCAUCCCUACUGCCCCCGGCAGGACAGGGAGCUGGAAGCUGUGACACCCCAUUUUAAGGGGCCACCCAUUAAUUAAUUAGGCUCCAUGAAUAAUGCAUGCCACCUUGGGUAUAUUAAUAGCAUAUUUAUAUGGUGUGCUAUGGGGAGUAUACAUUCUCGUCUGAACACCUCACAAAUAAUUCACGACACCGCUCCUUCCCCAGCCUCCAGGAGAUCCUGGCCGGUGCUGCGGCUGGGGCUGGUGGGCUGCUUCCCACAGCCAAAUUUUACAUUUCAUUAUAAAUGGCUUUGCUAGGCAUGUCGGUAACUCGUGCAUUUCCAUCCACUUUAUUAUUAAUGGCUUUGCUGAACUGUAGCAGCCCAACGCCGCGCACAGUGCGUUAUAAAUAUUUGAUCCGGCAUCUAUG